rnacentral:rRNA from 1 species
CACGUAGGGCGCAAGCGUUGUCCGGAUUUAUUGGGCGUAAAGCGCGUGUAGGCGGCCAGAAAAGUCCGCUGUGAAAACUCGAGGCUCAACUUCGAGCUGUCGGUGGAAACUUUCUGGCUAGAGUCCGGAAGAGGAGAAUGGAAUUCCUGGUGUAGCGGUGAAAUGCGCAGAUAUCAGGAAGAACACCCGUGGCGAAGGCGGUUCUCUGGGACGGUACUGACGCUGAGACGCGAAAGCGUGGGGAGCGAACAGG